AUGAGCGCGGCGGCGGGCGGGCUUCGUCAGCUGCUGACGGCGGCGGUGACGGCGGGGGCGGCGGAGGCGCGCGCCGCGAUUUUCGGGCACGCGGUGAACCCGUUGGGGAAGCGCGCGGCGACGAAGCUGCUGCGGAAGAAGCUCAUCGGCGAGCAUGUCGCGCAGUGGUACCCCGACGACAUCAAGCGCGACGACCCCGAAGUCAUGGCGCGCGAGGAGAAAGAGCGUCUCGCGAAGCUGGAAAUGCUUAAACGUCGUGGGAAGGGUCCGCCAAAGAAGGGCCAGGGAAGGCGUGCGAUCAAGAGAAACAAAUAA
rnacentral:rRNA from 1 species